UACAGAGGUCUCAAGCGUUGUUCGGAUUCAUUGGGCGUAAAGGGUGCGUAGGCGGCGCGGUAAGUCGGGUGUGAAAUCUCGGAGCUUAACUCCGAAACUGCAUUCGAUACUGCCGUGCUUGAGGACUGGAGAGGAGACUGGAAUUUACGGUGUAGCGGUGAAAUGCGUAGAUAUCGUAAGGAAGACCAGUGGCGAAGGCGGGUCUCUGGACAGUUCCUGACGCUGGAGGCAACGAAGGCCAGGGGAGCAAACGGGAUUAGAACCG
rnacentral:rRNA from 1 species